UACGUAGGGUGCAAGCGUUAAUCGGAAUUACUGGGCGUAAAGCGUGCGCAGGCGGUUAUGUAAGACAGAUGUGAAAUCCCCGGGCUCAACCUGGGAAUUGCGAUGGAGACUGCAAGGCUAGAAUCUGGCAGAGGGGGGUAGAAUUCCACGUGUAGCAGUGAAAUGCGUAGAGAUGUGGAGGAACACCGAUGGCGAAGGCAGCCCCCUGGGUCAAGAUUGACGC
rnacentral:rRNA from 1 species